rnacentral:lncRNA from 1 species
AGAAAAGGAAAAGGUCACCACCCUGAUCUGACAUGUUGAAUUGAGAGAAUGGACUUAGAGGAAACCGAAGAAAUCCCAAGCCACACCAAACAGGACCUCAAGACUCUCCCAUUUUUCUAUCAUCAGGGGCAUGUUUGGUACCUCUGGCGAUUUGCGAAAUGACCUUCUGACCCCAGAACUCCGAGUCAAACCCUGUGCCACACCCUUCCCAGGGCCCAGUGGUACUGCAUCAUCUGUUGCAAUCAGCUGCCGAGGCUUCACCACUGGUAUUCCUAUGAAAAAGCAAGUGUACCAGCUGUCAUCCAUCCUCGUUCUGAAGUCUCAGCUGUCUUUGGGGUUGCUACCCUAUUCUUCUGGGGCUCCACCAUAAAAGUUCUCACCAGUAGUCACCAGUUUGGACUUAUCCUCUUCAUCACCAACUUCAUCAUCUUCCACACUUCGGCCAGGAAAGAAAAAGCCCAUCAUUCUGUGGAAGAACUGGUGUGUCAGCUGGAUGGUGAGAGGCACCACAUUUACCUAAAAA